CUUGUGGCAUGUGGAACUUCCCAGGCAAGGGGUCAAAUUGGAGCUGCAGCUGCCAGCUUACACCACAGCCACAGCAACACCAGAUCCAAGCCACAUCUGUGACAUACACCAUGAGUUCAUGGCAACUCUGGAUACUUAAUCUACCGAGGGAGGCCAGGGAUUGAACCUGUAUCCUCAUGGAUACUAGUCGGGUUCUUAACCUGCUGAGCCAUAAUGAGGACUCCCUAUGCCAAGUCCUUUUGUAGGGCUAAGGGAGGGGCCUUUGUCUUUGGACGAUGAUUCAGCUGUCAAGUCUUCAUCAAGGGCUGUAAUGCUUAGAAAUGCUUAGUUUGCAAAGGAAGGAAAACUCAAAUUCGUGUGGCAAAAAAAAAAAAAAAAAGCAAUUUCUUGGCUUAUGUAACAAAUGGUCCGUUCUAAGGAAAAAAGUAAAAUGUGGAAGGAAAGUGGGGCUAAGAGUAAGGUAGGAAUAUUUAAACUAGAGAGAACAGGGAAGGUCUCAGAGACAAUGGACAUUUGAGCACAGUCCUGAGGGAGGUGAGGAAGUGAGCCAGGUGGAUGUCCCAGACAGAUGGAACAGCAAGCACAAAGGCCCUGAGGUGGGAGUGUGCCUAGAGCUCAGGGAGGGAGCGGGGAGGUGGGAGAUGAGGUCAGAGACGUCACCUAAAGUCAAAUAUUGGGGAAAGACUUGGAAAUUUUUUAGGAAAGAAAGUUCUUUAUCCCAUGGCCUAACAUAAGGAUCAGGUUCCUAUAAGCUCUGGUGGGAAAUGCAGUUGAGGUAGGGAAGAAAAUGGGGGCGAAGAAAAUGAAGCAAGGACCACCCCUUCCACGCUUGGCCCUCCUUGGCCUUGGGAGAACCAGACCAGGUACUAGAAGGGAAAUCAGUGGCCUGAACUCCAUGGCACAGUGUAUAAGGGACUCUAUCAUUAGUAACAGCCCCAGAAGGCAAAAACCUCCUCUGGAGUCACCUAAAGCCCCUGGGGAAACUAGGUUGGGCCAGAGAAGUCUGUGACAGCUGUCACCCACUCUCUAUACAGGAGCAUCCAGGCCUGCCCCCAAUUCAGAGGUCAUAACUUCAUGUGAGGGUGUCUGGUGGGCUCUCCAGGCUGGGGGAACACUCAAAAUCUUGAGAGAGACUAGGGGAUAAUCAGCUAAUUGCUUCAUUUCUAUAUGGUGAAACUGAGGUACACAGAGAGAAACUGAUGCACCCAAAGGUCACACAAUGGAAUAGAGGCAAAGCUGGGACUUGAAUUCAGAAUUCUUGACUCUACAGAGUCAGUGUUCCUUCUCAAUCCUGGGGGGACAAAAGAGCCUGGUGAGCCAGCCAGCCCCAGAGUUAACUUCUGCAUUUGAAUCCUGGAGCCACCAGUUGUCUAUGUGGCCUAGGUUAGUCACUGUAUCUCUCUGUGUCUCAGAUUCCUCAUUUGUAAAAUGCAGGUAAUGAUAAUAAUACCUGCCUCAUGGGAUUGUGGAAAAAAAAGGUGAUAUCUGCAAAUGUUUUAGAAAAACGAAAAUGGUAGAAUAGGACUUUCACAAAUUUUCUUCUUUAAAAGCAGUGACAAAAUGGGAAAAGUUGUCAGAAUCAUUUUUUUCCCCAGAAUUCUUGAAACUUCUUGUAGCAAUCAAAGAAGAAUUUAUUCAAGAAAAAGGGCUAAACCUUGGUAAGAACAUUUGUGGCAUUUUAACCUGCCCUAUUCCCACCCACAACUCUAUGGCAGACUUGAAGUCCAGCAGCCCAGCAGCCACCAGAGGGAACUGAAUAAGGUUGGACCACUUUCAAAACUUUUCUUCCCGACUACUGCCAUUAGCUGGCCUGUCUGGUGUUUCCCUGGAAGGCUCUACUUCAAGACUGUCUUUAUUCGAACUGAGUAGGAGUUCAUCCAGCACAAAAAGCCUUUUUCUUGGAGGCAUUUGUGAAAACACACAGAGGCAAUUGUUUAGCUUUGGGGCUACCUGCAGUGGUGGAUAAUAUUUGGGGGAAAACAAUCAGCUAACCAAAAGUCUUUAAAGGAAAAGCUAGGGAAUGAGGUGCCCAGAAUGGCUGUGAAAAGCUCCAACAUAGUCCUGGGAAUCUAAAAGGCUAUGUGCAUGUGUAGCACUGUGUGUAUCCCCAGAGCUAUACAAAUGGAAAGAUCUGAGAAGCGCCUAAGCUUUUAUCUCUUUUAAGGCUAACCUUAAGGCUCUGCAUGAGCAGGAAGAGAAGGCUAAGGCAGAGUUAGCCUGACUGAGUGUUGAGUGUCCCAACGUGCACAGAGCACCUCUACAAAGACUGGGAGACUUACCAGUUCCAGGAAUUCUCUGUCCAACCAUUUGCUGACAAGUAAAGUAACUGAACAGAGAUUUCAGUGCCACACAAAGAAGAACAUAGAUUUUGUAGAACUAGUUUAGAAAAGUUAUCAAAUAACAACAAAAGCAGCAACAAUAACAAACCCUGGAGAUGAGGAAGAAUCUGAUUUCCAGAGUCACUACAUGAUAUUAUGUAAAAUGUCCAUUUUCAACAGCAAAAAUUAUGAGUCAUGAAAAGAAAGAAGAAACUAUGCUCCCUGCAUAAGAGAAAAGCAAUCCAUAGAAACUGUCCCUGAGGAAUCCAGGAUGUUAGACUUGGAAGAAAAAGACUUUAAGUAUGUCAUUUUAAAUACAUUCAAAGAACUAAAGGAAGCCAUGUCUAAAGAAGGAAAAGAAAGUGAGAAUGAUGUCUUACCAAACAGAGAAUUACAAUAGAGACAGAAAUUAUAUAAAAGGAACCAAAUGGAAAUUUUGGAGUUGAAAAGUACAAUAGCUAAAAUGAAAAAUUCACUAGAGUGACUCAGCAAAUUGCAUCAAGCAGGAAAAAAUCAGUGAAUUUAGAGUUAGGUCAACCAGUAUUAAAAGAAGAAAUGGAAGAAAAAUGAAUAGAGCUUCAAAGAUUUGUGGGACACCAUCAACCAUAACAUUGUACCCAUAAUGAGAGUCCAAGAAAGAAAGGAUAGAGUCAGAGGAUUUGAAGAAAUAAUGUCUGAUGAAAAACAUUAAUCUACAUACCCAAGGAGCUAAACGAACUCCAAAAACCACAGGCUGGGAGUUCCCAUUGUGGCUCAGUGGGUUACAAACCAGACUAGUAUCCAUAAGGAUGAAGGUUCGAUCCUUGGCCUUGCUCAGUGGGUUAAGGAUCUGGCGUUGCCAUGAGCUGUGGUGUAGGUUGCAGACAUGGUUCAGAUCCCACGUUGCUGUGGCUGUGCUGUAGGUUGGCAGCUGCAGCUCAGAUUAGACCCCUAGUCUGGGAACUUCCAUAUGCCACAGGUGCGGCCCU
rnacentral:lncRNA from 1 species